UACGGGGGGAGCAAGCGUUGUUCGGAUUUAUUGGGCGUAAAGGGCUCGUAGGCGGUUUGUCGCGUCGGGAGUGAAAACACGGGGCUUAACCCCGUGCCUGCUUCCGAUACGGGCAGACUAGAGGUAUGCAGGGGAGAACGGAAUUCCUGGUGUAGCGGUGAAAUGCGCAGAUAUCAGGAGGAACACCGGUGGCGAAGGCGGUUCUCUGGGCAUUACCUGACGCUGAGGAGCGAAAGUGUGGGGAGCGAACAGG
rnacentral:rRNA from 1 species